rnacentral:rRNA from 1 species
CUCGUAGGCGGUUGCGUAAGUCGGAUGUGAAAACUCAGGGCUUAACUCUGAGACGCCAUCCGAUACUGCGCUGACUUGAGUCCGGUAGAGGAGUGUGGAAUUCCUAGUGUAGCGGUGAAAUGCGCAGAUAUUAGGAGGAACACCUAUUGCGAAGGCAGCACUCUGGGCCGGAACUGACGCUGAGGAGCGAAAGCAUGGGUAGCAAAC